ACGCUCGACACCUACGGGAGCAGCAGUGAGGAAUAUUGGUCAAUGGACGCAAGUCUGAACCAGCCAUGCCGCGUGCAGGAUGACGGCUCUAUGAGUUGUAAACUGCUUUUGUACGAGGGUAAACGCAGAUACGUGUAUCUGUCUGAAAGUAUCGUACGAAUAAGGAUCGGCUAACUCCGUGUCCAGCAGCCGCGGUAAUCUGAGCGGGCUGGCAAGGC
rnacentral:rRNA from 1 species